rnacentral:rRNA from 1 species
GUGGGGAAUAUUGGACAAUGGGCGAAAGCCUGAUCCAGCCAUGCCGCGUGAGUGAUGAAGGCCCUAGGGUUGUAAAGCUCUUUCAGUGGGGAAGAUAAUGACGGUACCCACAGAAGAAGCCCCGGCUAACUUCGUGCCAGCAGCCGCGGUAAUACGAAGGGGGCUAGCGUUGUUCGGAUUUACUGGGCGUAAAGCGCACGUAGGCGGAUUGUUAAGUCGAGGGUGAAAUCCCAGGGCUCAACCCUGGAACUGCCUUCGAUACUGGCAAUCUUGAGUCCGGAAGAGGUGAGUGGAACUCCUAGUGUAGAGGUGGAAUUCGUAGAUAUUAGGAAGAACACCAGUGGCGAAGGCGGCUCACUGGUCCGGUACUGACGCUGCGGUGCGAAAGCGUGGGGAGCAAACAGGAUUAGAUACCCCUGUAGUCC